rnacentral:rRNA from 1 species
UACGAAGGGGGGCUAGCGUUGCUCGGAAUGACUGGGCGUAAAGGGCGCGUAGGCGGAUGGCACAGUCAGAUGUGAAAUUCCCGGGCUUAACCUGGGGGCUGCAUUUGAUACGUGUUGUCUAGAGUGAGGAAGAGGGUUGUGGAAUUCCCAGUGUAGAGGUGAAAUUCGUAGAUAUUGGGAAGAACACCGGUGGCGAAGGCGGCAACCUGGUCCUUGACUGACGCUGAGGCGCGAAAGCGUGGGUAGCAAACAGG